rnacentral:rRNA from 1 species
GACGAACGCUGGCGGCGUGCCUAAUACAUGCAAGUUGAGCGCUGAAGGUUGGUACUUGUACCAACUGGAUGAGCAGCGAACGGGUGAGUAACGCGUGGGGAAUCUGCCUUUGAGCGGGGGACAACAUUUGGAAACGAAUGCUAAUACCGCAUAAAAACUUUAAACACAAGUUUUAAGUUUGAAAGAUGCAAUUGCAUCACUCAAAGAUGAUCCCGCGUUGUAUUAGCUAGUUGGUGAGGUAAAGGCCCACCAAGGCGAUGAUACAUAGCCGACCUGAGAGGGUGAUCGGCCACAUUGGGACUGAGACACGGCCCAAACUCCUACGGGAGGCAGCAGUAGGGAAUCUUCGGCAAUGGACGAAAGUCUGACCGAGCAACGCCGCGUGAGUGAAGAAGGGUUUCGGAUUGUAAAACUCUGUUGGUAGAGAAGAACGUUGGUGAGAGUGGAAAGCUCAUCAAGUGACGGUAACUACACAGAAAGGGACGGCUAACUACGUG